rnacentral:misc_RNA from 1 species
GUAGGUGAACCUGCGGAAGGAUCAUUACAUUUUCCACCUCUUGUGGGUGGUCGGGGGGUUUGCGGUCUCUGCAGCCCCUGUCUGAACCCGUGUCUUUUGCGUACUACCUGUUUCCUUGGUGGGCUUGCCUGCCAAAUGGACAAUUUCACAACCUUUGCAGUUGCAAUCAGCGUCUGAAUAAACACAAUAAUUACAACUUUCAACAACGGAUCUCUUGGUUCUG